rnacentral:rRNA from 1 species
GCAGGCUAACUUUAGGGAGGCCGGUCACCACGGUGUGGUUCAUGACUGGGGUGAAGUCGUAACAAGGUAGCCGUAGGGGAACCUGCGGCUGGAUUACCUCCCU